rnacentral:lncRNA from 10 species
UUUUUUUUGGUAGAGAUGGAGUUUUACCAUGUUAGCCAGGCUGGUCUCUAACUCAUGGGCUCAAGUGAUCUACCUGCCUCGGCCUCCCAAAGUGCUAAGAUUACAAGGGUGAGCCACCACACCCAGCCUGUUCACUUUUUAAAAUUCUUUUUUCUUAAUUUUAUUUUUUAUUAUUAAUUUUUGUUAUUUACCAAAAUUAACUGCAAAUUACCAACCAAGCCUUUCCCUGAAAGUUGCAAGUCAUCAAUGGAUUCCAGAGUUUCAAAGGAGUUACAUCAAAUAGAUUCUGCCAGUGUAAUUAUUGUCUAAGUGGGCAGACAGAUUUCUGGUACUUCUUACUCUGCCAUCUUCACAGAAUCCUAUUUUAAAACUGAUACUCUAACUGUAUUCCCUAUAAUUGGGAAAGCUGAAAAAUAUUGAGUGAAUUAAGCAGAGAUAUAGAAGAUAUUUUAAGAAAACAAAACACCCAAGUCAGACUUUUAGAAAACUAUAACGUCUGAGAUGAAAAUAUAAUGGAAGCAAUUAAAAGCAGAUUAGAAAUAGAAGAAUAAAAGGUUAUGAACUUGAAGACAGCAAUAGGAACUACCCAAAUAAAACAGACGAAACAAAAACUUGUUAAAAAAUUAACAGAGCCUCAAUGACCUUGGAAAGACUUCAAAUGGCCUAAUACACAUAUAUCGGAAUCUCUCAAAAAGAGAAAGUAGGAGGGACAGAAAAAACAUUAAAGCAAUAAUGGCUAAAAGUUUUACAAAUUUAAUAAAAGCUAUAAUUCCACAGUUCCAAGAAGCUCAACACGAAGAACAAGAAACAAGAAAACCACACAAAGGCACACAAAAACCAAUUGGCUGUAAGCCAGCAAAAUAGAUCUUUACUCUGGCAUCACCAGUUGAGUCCAGUAGCAGCAGGUGAUUCUGUUUUAGUUUUUGCCCUAACAUUUUUGGGACCAACAUCACUGCACUCUCUCAGAGGUGCCGGCAUCAAAUGGCCAGAAUCUCCUCCUCAGAGGUCUCUGUCCCAGCUCUACAGGGCGCUCUCCUCUGUGCUACUGAAGCACCAGGACCAACACUAGACCGUGCCUCCUCUUCAUGGGUCCCAGUCCAAGCUUUCUAGGACUCUCCUUCCAAGCUUCUAAAUGCUGAUAAACCUAAUCCCUUCCCUUUGCUCUGUAGCCCUAGAUAGGAGCUGCUUCCUAUUAUAACCACCUCUGUGAUGUCUUAAGUGUUCUCUUUUUGCCUGUUUAACAAUUCUUUACAUUAAGUACUCUACAUUAAAUACUACUAAAAUAACAGAGAAAGAUGAUUGCACCUUGUUAGGUAAAAUCAUAAGCUUUUUCUAUCUUUUAAAUUUUUUUAAUCAAUUUUUUUAGAGAUAGGAUCUCACUCCAUCACCCAGGCUGGUGUUCAGUGGUGCACUCAUGGCUCACUGCAACCUUGAACUCCUGGCUCAAGCGACACUUUCACCUUGGACUCCAAAGUAACACAGACUGUGUGUGAAUGCCACCACACCUGGCUACUUUUUUUUGUAGAGAUGAGGUGUCACUUUGUUGCCCAGGCUGGUCUUGAACUCCUGGGCUCAAGCAAUUCUCCCAUCUUGGCCUCCCAAAGUACUGGGAUUAUAGGCAUGAGCCACUGCUCCUGGCCCACAUUUAAAAAAUUAUUGUUGUAUGAAAUUUCAGAUAUGUACAGAAGAGCAAGUGUAGAGGCUAAGUACUAGAGAUUGGAAUGGGUUAUGAGUUAUUCUCUCAGUUUCAAAUCCAUCCCUUAAUUCUCAUCUUUGAGAUUUGGGGCUUUGUCAGGUGCAUGCUCAAUAGACUGUGCCGAAAGCAUGUGCUACAGGGAGAUAGAAGGCUAGAGAGGGAACAAGGGGCUUCUCCCUCCUGUUUUACUUUCUGUUGCUACCAACACAACCCCAGUAGUGGUUCUUCACUCAGUAAGUAGCAAAUGAUUCCCAGCAGCAGUAGUUGGCUCAAUUUACCAGUUUUCUAUUCCCUAGGCUCCCAGAGGCAUCCUCAUUGUGCCCUCUUAGAGAUUCAAGCACCAGCUACCUGCCAUGCUCUUCUCCAAAGUCUAAGUCCCAGAGCCAUGGAUUUUCUGACCUGUUGUUCAAUUCCUGAAAUCUUUUCUGAAUACCUGAGGCAAAAACACUGAUUAGGCUGUGUCCCCCUGUUAGCUUUGUGGGGUCUUUCCUCAAAUCCUCAGAUACCAGUGACCAAACCCCUCAGAUGUCUGGAUCCAAAUUCUGUGGUGCUGCUCCCUCAAGAUUCUAAAUUCCAGGAACCUCUUCUCUUUGUCCCCACAUCCUUAGCUGAUGUGACUGCUUUCUGCAAUUACUACCUCUGUGAUACAUUCCUUUGGCAUCUUAUAGCAUAAAGAUGUAAAUUACACCAAUUCUUUUCAUAUCCGUCUGCUAUUUUACACGCAGGUUAUCUUAACUUUUGGAUCUUAUUUUCUUUCAUCUUAUCCCUUUCAAUAAAGGCUAAAUUAUACAUAUGUAUCAGUCCUUAUGAAAUGUAAAAGAUCUAAACUAAUUCACCUUUAUCAUGCUCAUGUUUGUUCCACUUUAUCCAAAGGGCAGUGUUAUAGAGAGACCGAGAGAUAGAAGAUGAGAAACUCCCACAUCCUUCAGGAUCUGGGGAAAAUUAGCUUCUAGGAAGCUAAAUCUCCUCAUCUGUAAUAAUUCAUAUAGAGUUGUUGUAAAUAUCCAGGAAAGCAUUUAUAUGGAAGCAUUUAGCAAUCGUAAGCGCAGUGUAAAUUAGUUCCAUUACCAUUACCAAAUAUGACUAGAUGGUAGAAGGAAAAGAUGAUGAAACAAGAGGCGAAAAGAAGAAAAACAACCGAAAAAAGUAUUCUAGAGUUUCUCUACCCACUCAGAAAUAGAAUAAUAUAUAGUUUUUUUAAAAUGUGGAUCUCUACUUUUUCCCAUUGCAUUCAACUCGAAUCCUCAGCCGAUCUAGCACAGAUCCUUUUUGCUAAUGAGACAGAAACCAUUUAUUAACAGACAGCAAAUACUGUUUAUUGCAGACUUUCC